rnacentral:rRNA from 1 species
AUUGAACGCUGGCGGCAUGCCUUACACAUGCAAGUCGAACGGUAACAGGUCUUCGGAUGCUGACGAGUGGCGAACGGGUGAGUAAUACAUCGGAACGUGCCUAGUAGUGGGGGAUAACUACUCGAAAGAGUGGCUAAUACCGCAUGAGAUCUACGGAUGAAAGCAGGGGAUCGCAAGACCUUGUGCUACUAGAGCGGCAGAUGGCAGAUUAGGUAGUUGGUGGGAUAAAAGCUUACCAAGCCGACGAUCUGUAGCUGGUCUGAGAGGACGAUGAGCCACACUGGGACUGAGACCCGGCCCAGACUCCUACGGGAGGCAGCAGUGGGGAAUUUUGGACAAUGGGCGCAAGCCUGAUCCAGCAAUGCCGCGUGCAGGAUGAAGGCCUUCGGGUUGUAAACUGCUUUUGUACGGAACGAAAAGCCCUGGGUUAAUACCCUGGGGUCAUGACGGUACCGUAAGAAUAAGCACCGGCUAACUACGUGCCAGCCGCCGCAGUAAUAC